UACGUAGGGUGCGAGCGUUAAUCGGAAUUACUGGGCGUAAAGCGUGCGCAGGCGGCGCGUUAAGACAGGUGUGAAAGCCCCGAGCUUAACUUGGGAAUUGCGCUUGUGACUGGCGUGCUGGAGUGUGGCAGAGGGAGGUGGAAUUCCACGUGUAGCAGUGAAAUGCGUAGAGAUGUGGAGGAACACCGAUGGCGAAGGCAGCCUCCUGGGCCAGCACGUGACGCUCGAUGCA
rnacentral:rRNA from 1 species